rnacentral:rRNA from 1 species
GGAUAAUACCUGAUAGGCCAUGACAUCUGGAAUCAGUUGUGGUUUAAACGUAAGGCUCUUGGAUGGGUCUGCGGCGGAUUAGGUUGUUGCCGGUGUAACGUACCAGCAAGCCUGUAAUCCGUACGGGUUGUGGGAGCAAGAGCCCGGAGAUGGAUUCUGAGACACGAAUCCAGGCCCUACGGGGCGCAGCAGGCGCGAAAACUCUACAAUGCAGGCAACUGCGAUAGGGGAACAUCGAGUGGCAUCCACCAUGGAUGUCUGUCCAAUCGUCUAAAAAACGAUGUCAGCAAGGGCCGGGCAAGACCUGUGCCAGCCGCCGCGGUAAUACCGGCGGCUCGAGUGGUGGCCGAUAUUAUUGAGUCUAAAGGGUCCGUAGCCGGCUUUGCAAGUCCUAUGGGAAAUCCAGCGGCUUAACCGUUGGGCUUUCAUGGGAUACUACAU